CAUACCUCACUCAGCACACCGUCUGUCACCCAAACAAGCAUCCAAUGAGGAAAAUGAACACACUGCUCCUCAUGAGCUUAUCUCUUCUCUACCUCAAAGAGGAUGAAAACUGGAUAACUAGCUGGCAAGAGUGGGAGAUCAACUUUACACAACAUUCUUUUUCUAUUACUUACUAUUUAGUCACAUCAAUAUGCUACCUAUUUUUAAAUAAUGCAUUUUUAAAAUGUUGAAAUUGGAAAUACUCAGAGGUUAAAGAUCAAAGAGACAAUUAUUCAAAGAGCAUUAUCAGUGUACUGAGCAGCCUGCUCCCAACUCCCAUGAGAGAGAGAAGCCUCAUGAAAGUUGCUUCAGGGAGAAACUGAUAGUGUCCUCUGGUGUUUGGAAGGCACAGUGAGCUUGAGGAACCUAAAGGUGCGAGGGAGCCUGAGGCUACAGCCCUGAAAUGGUGGAACUGAAAGACAGCUGAGCUGCAUUACAUGCAAGCAGGGAGGAUGUGCAUACAUUCCCCUGGAUCUGAUCUGGGCCAUGCCAUAUCAAGCAAGUCAGGCUUGAGCUGUUUAAAGUUCUAUCCAAGAGCGCUGUCUGGAGUAACAAGGUAUUCUAGCAAGGUGUGGGACACUAGCUUCUUACAGCUGAGAGAAAAUAUAACCACCAGCUGCGGGAAAUACACCACUCACGAUACAGCAGUGGACUUGAAUAUUUUUGUGGGGGAAAUCCUGAAGAACCCGCAAAUGUUCUCCUGACUCAAGGAACUCAAGAAAAUGAGUUCUCCUGGCUCAAGAAAAUGAGUCAGCUUUUAUUAAACACAAAGUCCAAGAGAUUGGGUUUUAAGUAACUACCAUAGACAAAAGAUGAUGGCACCAGAGCCAGUCCGAUGACAUCUUUCCUGUCCUUUACCUGUCCCCCUCCCUCUCACCAACUGAAAUGGGUCAGAAACUAUCACUCAUAAGCCAGAGGUGAGUAGGAGGAAACCAAGAAGAGAAAUAGAGAAAAAGUCAAAGC
rnacentral:sRNA from 1 species